rnacentral:rRNA from 1 species
GAUGAACGCUGGCGGCGUGCCUAAUACAUGCGAGUCGAGCGAAUGGAUUAAGAGCUUGCCCUUAUGAAGUUAGCGGCGGACGGGUGAGUAACACGUGGGUAACCUGCCCAUAAGACUGGGAUAACUCCGGGAAACCGGGGCUAAUACCGGAUAACAUUUUGAACCGCAUGGUUCGAAAUUGAACGGCGGCUUCGGCUGUCACUUAUGGAUGGACCCGCGUCGCAUUAGCUAGUUGGUGAGGUAACGGCUCACCAAGGCAACGAUGCGUAGCCGACCUGAGAGGGUGAUCGGCCACACUGGGACUGAGACACGGCCCAGACUCCUACGGGAGGCAGCAGUAGGGAAUCUCCCGCAAUGGACGAAAGUCUGACGGAGCAACGCCGCGUGAGUGAUGAAGGCUUUCGGGUCGUAAAACUCUGUCGUUAGGGAAGAACAAGUGCUAGUUGAAUAAGCUGGCACCUUGACGGUACCUAACCAGAAAGCCACGGCUAACUACGCGCCAGCAGCCGCCGUAA